AGAGACCUCAAGCGUUAUCCGGAUUCAUUGGGCGUAAAGCGUACCGAUCGGCGGUUUUUUAAGUCUGAGGUAAAAUCCAGAGGCUCAACUUCUGGCUUGCCUUGGAAACUAAAAGACUAGAGGGGCAAAGAGGUGCUUGGAACCAGCGGUGUAGCAGUGAAAUGCGUUGAUAUCGCUGGGAACACCGAUAGCGAAGGCAGAGCACUGGGUGCCAUCUGACGCUGCUAGGACGAAAGCGUGGGGAGCGAAUGGGAUUAGAUACCCCAGUAGUCCACGCUGUAAACGAUGAUGACUAGGCUCGGGAGAGUAUCGACCCUUUUCCGUGCCGUAGCUAACGCGUUAAGUCAUCCGCCUGGGGAGUACGGUCGCAAGACUA
rnacentral:rRNA from 1 species